rnacentral:lncRNA from 1 species
AAUGAUCUGCCAAAUAACAUCCUCAUAAAAGAAAUUAAAGAACGAAUAUAUUAUAUAUUCUAGUUAGGGUACAAAUUUUAUAUUUUAUAUUUUAUACGCACAAAUUUUAUAUUUUAUACGCACAUUCACCUCAAAGUAGGAACAAAUCUUCCGCCUUCCGCCUGUCCCGAUCCAAAUACAUCCUAAUAGACCAUUUCAGCCACCACAUGCACACAAAAGAGGAAAGGAGACAAUAUAUAUUAGGUGAACCAAGCUGCAAAUUUUUACAACGUUUUCUAGCUUCUAAUCCCAUUUUGGUUUUUCUUUUUUGGUUUUUGGACUUUUUAAUAGAACUAGCAACAAGAAGGAACAUGUACAUAGAGAUUUAGUCACCAAACGUUUGGAAAGAAAAAUUAGCCUGCAAUUCUUUAGUUCAUCUCCAGCUCCUGAAAGAAGCAAUAAGAGAGAGCAAAAUCGGCAACAAAAAUACCGACUAGAGAGAGAACCACAGCCGAAGUCGUUGAUUCCCCGACACCUUGACUCCUCCCAAGUUGUGACCCCCCAAGCACGCUCACAGUAGCAUGAUCCCCACCAAAACUUGUGAACUUGAUCAUCGCACCUAAUUAUAUCCCAUGACCUGAGAGCUCUCUGAGCCGAAUCCAAGAUGAUGUUAAUUCUAACCCCAUAACAGCAUCAGCCAGGAAGGGCACUAGAGGUCUUCCUACUGUCAACACAUCAUGGUCAAAACGGUAAUGCACACAGGAGGCAAGUGACCAUCGUCGUCAUCAGAUAAUCAACUGGGUCGAUCAAGAACUCUUCAGAGCAUAGUUUUAUUAAAACCGACCGAACCGGCCGUUUCACCGGAACCGGGUACUAAACCGUUCAGUCAACUUUUUACCGAAAUUGCAAGCGAACCCGGAUGAAACCGGUUGAACCUUCCGAUUUUUUUAUCGCACCGGCCGGUUUUUUUAACCGUUAACCGGCCGGUUUUUUAACAAGAAAAUUACAGUUUUUAAUUUUUUACAAUUUGAGACCCCAAAAUUUUGAAUUGAAAUUUUUUAAUUUUACUAGUUUUGACCCCCUAAAUUUUGAAUGAAUUUUAUUUUUAAUAGUUUUUUACUAUAAUUAAUUUUUUACUAUGCAUGGGUACAAAAAAUAUUUUUUUAUUACUUAUAUCAAAAAUAUUUUAUUAUUUAUUAAUUAGAAAUCGGUGAACCGGUUUAAACAGUGGUUGAACCAGUGAACCGUUGAACCGAUGCUUUGAUCGGUUCAAUGCCGGUUCGUCUGAUAACUAUCUUCAGAGUAUCAGUUUGCUCGUAAACCUGCAUUGUUGUCCCCGCAGCAGCAAAUGACCUGCGGAUUCGACCGGCACUACUAUUGAAUGUGACCACAAGGACUUAGCUCCCUUGGAAGGUAAGGCUAACACCCCCCAACACCACACGGACCUGUUUAACCCUAACUGGUAUUCUCUAACAAACUGAAUCGUGAGGCAUGCCACAAAAGCUGAGGUUGAUAGGCAGACCCACGUGAUUUCGGACCGACCCUCUCUAGCUGUUGAAGAGUGUGUCCUCCGUGGACCUUUCCCUUUAAAGAAGUCCUAAUGAUUACCUGCCUGCUGAAUGAAAACCGAUAAUCCCCUCCAUAGGUACCUGGGAGUGAACCAUUUGCUCAAAAAUUGUAUGGACUUCAAGAUUCAGGGCAUUCAUUGGGGUUGUUACUUUCCUUCAUGCACAGAGCCACCAGGCGUCCUCAUCUGUAUUAGGAACCCGACAAUCUUGUUUUUUGGACCGGGUAAGAAAUCACAUUCCACACGCCUUCAGUGAAAUCAAGUUUUCUGGCAAUCGACUAGAAUAUGGAACUUUUGUUUUCAUCCAACCAACAUGAUAUUUGUGCUUUUUCCUGCAGUGUGGAAAUCAAGUUUUCUGGCAAAUUCGACUAGAAUAUGGAACUUUUGUUUUCAUCCAACCAACAUGAUUUAGUUGUGCUGUCCUGCGUGUGGUUAGAAAAAUCAUAUUCAUUCUAUAAUCAUAAAAAAGCAGAGUUGACAUUAUAUAUUAUAUAUAUAUAGAUAGAGAGAGAGAGAGGAGAGAAGAGAGAAACCUGUUAAUAGAAGAAACAGAUUGGACGAAAAUGUGAAGCUGCUUGCAUGAUAUAUCUUGCGAGUGGAUUACUAACUCCAGAGUUCGACCCCAAGGACUGUCAUAGGUCAUCUCAAUCAAGAAAGCUUUGAUAAAGUACUUCUUGAAACUGGGACAUCAAGGUGAAGGUAAAAUUUACCCAUAAAAACUGCUGCUCCAAGCCGAUACAUAGUUGAUUGAAGGUGAAAUCUGCACUCGACAGUAACAUCUAUUUUACUAAUAUAACAACCACAUGUAGGAUAAGGUAGCAAUUUGUUUCAUUAUUGAAAGGAAAUGAACUGUCCAUCAAUAUCAACAGAAAGAACUAGAGGGAUAAACAGUGAAAAGUUAAUUAUGCCAGGUGAUCAAGCAAGUCAACUUCAUUGAUACCUAUUCAGAAGCAUGAACUCUAUUUACAGAUGUAUAUCGGUAUAUCAUGAAUCUGGCAGAUCCACGGUUUCUAAUAUUCAUUCUCAAGUCUACUCAUGGGUUUUUUUUUCGCUGCCAGUUGGUUCGACAGAAAUAGCAUUUGAAAGAACACAUACAUCAUCUGAAUCGCACCACCAACAAACAUCAAAACCACUGGCAAAACCAAAUUUUCAGGCCCUAUUUAGACAUGCUAUAUCUUUCCCAAUGCGACUUCUAUUUCCAGUGAUGGCUACUAUCACAUGUGAAACAUAAUUACUCUGGUCAUAAUAAUAAUGUUAAAAGAAAUAUCACUGCCAGAAUAUAAAAAGCAUGGCAAAGUUUAAAUAUCACCUGUGAAAACACCGUAACCCCACAAAGCAAUUUGAAAUCUCACAUUUUCUUACAAAGAUACAAUUCAUUCUGCAUGAUGAAAAGAAAAUGCCAAACCCUCCUUCCCAACAAACCCCUAUAUGCUAAUUUUCUAACUACCGAAAAAGUUCAGUCCAUCAUUGCAAAUCAGAAAAAUAACAAUAGCAACAAUAAAGUUAUUAUUGAAGGAAAAAAAAAAUUGAUUUUUUUGUGUGUUUCCCUUCAACAAAAGGAAGGGGCAUUACAAGACUAGCCCCGGGGUAUGACCCUGAAUUUUGAACUUUUUUUCACUUAAGCCCCAGGCCUUCACGAUGAUAAAAUUCUCAACCUUUUGCCAAUGUCUGAUGGUUAACCCGAACUACAGAGGAUUUUUUUUGUUAAUUUACUCACCUUCUGGAUAAUUUUGUCAAUUUACCAUCCGUCUUCCUGGCCCACCCACCUCUCUUAUUCUCUUUUCCACCACUCCCUCCCCUUCCCUAGCCACUUCAACACUUCCCCAACUUUUUCUGCAUUUCUAAUGUUGUUCGAAUGCAAACAAUAACAUUAUUAAGAACGCUCAACACUGGAAAAAUAAUCCUCCGAGUCAAACCAGAAGUUCACCUAAAUUCAUACGUUAGUGCAAGUCCACAAUUAUCACAACAAUGCUCUUGAUUGCAUAUUAAUCAUUAUGUGGCGCUAAAUCCUACAAACAGUUGCCCCAUUGCAAUACCCUUCAACUUAAAACAUCACAUGCACGUGGCAUGACUAUGUUAUGAAUUCAAACAUGCAAAAUAUGUAUGCAUACGUAUGUGGUGGUUACUUUUCUAUGUAUGAGAUGUGGUGCAGCUGUGGCAAGGUGGCUACAGGUCUUGACAAUAGUGGCUGCAGAGAUAAAAAGGAAAGGAAGCAAGCAGGCAGUUAAUUGACAUAAUUACCACUCUUCCAUCAGUGGCUAUAAACGGAGAUGAAUGGAACGCUUAGAUUGAAACCAGUUUCAAAAUGCAGGUUUUAUGUUUAGAAAAUUACAAAACCUAGAUCUAAUUUAUUAAAAGGGCCUAACCCUAGUUUUCAAUGUAAUUCUCCCAACAUUUUGGAGUUUUCAAUUAACGCAAUGUAACAAUUUGAUCAAUAUGAAACGCUUAAAGUCAUCAAACUAAGAUGCACAUAGUGUUAAGUUUUAGGCUUUAGCCAAUCACAUAUGUUAUGAAAAACAAAUACUUCCAUAUACUUUUGUAUUGUUAAAAUUUCCAUGGUAGGAAAUGUAUGUAUUCAUAAGUUACAACAAAAUUCGUUGAUGGCCAUCUGCAUUUGACCCAUUUCCCAAAUGAUCAAAAUCCUACAUCCACCCCUCUCAAUGCCCACAAAUAGACAAGGAACUGUAGUUGAGAAAGAAAGACUGAGUAUCCUAAACAUGGGGAAAAUUUCUCACUAGCAUGCCUGAGAAGAGCAUAGAUCACUGCCCAAACACAAUAAUGGAAACGUCUAAUACAAAUCAAAUGGCAUUAUCAGUUCCCUUAGAUUCUGUAAUCACAGAAAUCACCCUAAAAGCACAGAAAUCACCCUAAUUGUACUGUAUGUACUAGCUUUCUUGCACCAACCAAAUUAAAGUUGAAAUCUAGUUGAAAUCUAUGAAGCAGAGCUCAGAGUUUCCACACCCACACGUUUCGAACCCAUCCCUCUCACCCAAAAUCCUCAAUGUCAACAAUUAGGCUAAUUCCAUAGACAUAGGACAAGAAUAUCUAUAAGCAUCCGAAAUGACUACAAUGGUUGUCAAUAUAGCAAUAUAUGGAGAGGGAUGAAAAUUAGAAAUAGCUUAAAGGCCAUCACAGAAAUGAACUCAUAAGCUUCGGUCAUAUUGACCAACAUCCAAUGGCGAAGCCACAUUGGCCCAGGAGGGCACUGACCCCUAUAAACUUCUUUAAUACUAUACUUUUACCAAUAGUUGCGAAUUACAUUUUAAACUUUCCCCUCUUAAAUAUUGUAUGUAACUUUUUAAAUCUUUCAUAGCCUUUAUUUUCUUCUAUUUCAUAGUAAAAUUCUCACAAUUUGCUCCUGUCAAAAUUUAUUUUGGUAAAAAUCCCUCUUCAUAUAUUCUAUCUCCAUUUAAAAUCCUCUCUUGUUUCUCUUUUUCUCUCUUAUCUUCAAACAAUGGUUAUCAUCUUUGCAGUCCAACUUGUUGCUUGUAGUCAUCACAUUUUUCUUGAAGGGCUUUCUUCUUCAUUCAUAGGUUGUAAAAAUUACACUGUAUGUCCACUACAUAAAACACACUGGCUUAUAUAGCUGAAGGAUUGAACAAGAUUCGAAAACGAAAGGGAUUGAAUGACACCAACAAUGUGUGUAUUUGUUUUCCGUGAAUCGAUUAACCCAUGAUCUCCAAACUUCACCAGUUACUUUUAUAGCUGCUAUAAACAACUUUUACCAAAAAGACCGAGCAUAGUAGUGAUUCAAUAGUCUCUCAAGCAAAACACGAGAGAGAGAGAGAGAGAGAGAGAAAAACAAUUCAAAUUUUCAAACGCUGACAACUACUAACAUUUAUUCCAAUUCCAAGAAACUGCAUUAAAAAGGAAGAAACAAUUGAGAAGAUCAGAAGAGAGGAGAGAGAAAACAGUGAGAAGCUCACCUCGGGGAAGUCGCGACCGACUAAAGGAACAGCGUCGCCGGACGGCGGAACUCAGAGGAACCAGGUGUCGAUUUGAGAUUUGGGGAAACUUAGGACUCGCCUGCCCUAAGAUUUCCAAUUGUAAUUUUUUGUCUUCGUAAUGCCAAAAAAACAGGCCAAAAAAUAGAAUCACCCUUAUUUAAUUACUUUAUUUUUCUGAGUUUUUCUAAUUUAUUUUUUGUGAAUUUUUUAAUUAUUUAAUCAUUUUUUGCUUUCUCCUUUUUUUUGAAAGAAAUAUAAAAAUUUUAAAAAGUUGUUUAAAUUUAAAAAUAUAAUUCACUAUAAAUAACAAUAGUUUAUUUGUUGAGUUAAAAAUUAUAAAAAAAAUGUCUUCGAUGAAUUUUUUCAAAUUAGACAAAUAAAAUUAUAUUUCCAGAUUUUUCUAGCGAUGAAAAAUAUAAAAAUUUUAAUUAAACAAAAAAAAUCAAAAUUCAAAUAGUUAAAUUAGCUCCCAAAAAGUUAAAACAAACUGAGUAAGGCUGAUCAAAUUAGUCAUUCAUUGAAAAAAUUAAGAUUAAUUUUUAAUUAAAAAACAAAUCGCCUAUUUAAUAUGACUAAGUUUUAUAUGGUAUUUUUUAACUUAGUUUAGCUACUUUGAUUUUUGAAUAUUUUAGUGAAAACUUUUAAUGGUUGAUUAAAAUUUUAAACUUUUCUGCUUCUUCUUGAAGAUAUGAAUUUGAAAAUGUAAUUUUUUUAAUUUAAUUUUAAUAAAAAAAAUCCACAAGACAAAAAAAAUUACAUGAAAAAAAAAAUUUUAAGGCCUAGUUUGACAUAGCCUUUUUCUUUAGAUUUUUAGGUUGUGUUUGAAUUUCAAAUUUGUAAAGAAAAAAUAAAAUAGAAAAGUUAGAGAAUUCAACCGUCCCGAAUCGUUAGAUAAUUUCUCGUUUUUAUUUCCCCUCAUUAAAUUCAUAAUCCAAACUUAGCCUUAAGGGGUUUGGGUUUUUGAGUUUCUUUAAUUUUUAGUGAAUUUUUAUAUUUGUUUGAUUAAAAUUUUAUAUUUUUAAAAAAUUUUAAAAAUAUAAAAAAAUUCAAGUUCACUAAAAGUUAAAAUAAUUUCACAUGAUAAAUUAGUUUAAUUUAUUUUUUAGUAUUUUUCUAGCUACAUAUGCAUUCCGUAAGUUUCAUCAACCGUAUAUGAAAUUUCAAUUUAGUCCCUGUGCUUAUAAUUUAAACAAUUACAAUUUUAUUGUUUCUAAUCAAUUGUAAUAUAAUCCUUUCAUCCAAAAUCAUUAAAAAUGUUUUUUAACAGGAUUUGAAUGGAGGGACCAGACCACAUUGAAAUUAAUUAAAAAUGUAAGGUUCUAAUUGUUCGAAUUAGAAUUAUAGGGACUAAAAGUGAAGUGAAGUUUUUCCUAAACUGCGGGGACCAACGGUGAAAUUUACCCUAUACAUUUCUAUCCACCACUUACUUCUUGUUUGUUUAAUUUCAUUCCUGGAUAUUGGAAUUCUCAUUUCAACCGAGCUUAAUUAUUAUUGGCCAUGUUAAGACUCAAUUGAGGAUUUAGUGCUUAACAUUUUCGGGUUUGUUGUUUUGAAUAAAUUUGUGUGUUUGGCUAACUUUUAUAGAUUGUGUUGAAGCUUUUCGUAAAUAUGGCUUAGUUUUAUAAAAAAAUUAAAAAAAAUCACAUAAUUAAAAAAAAAAAAUUACACGACUUAGUAUAAUUCUUGUUGAGACGAGCAUAGUAUGAAAAAACAAAUCAAGGAAGGGUUUCCUAUGAAAUCCAUUUUUUUAAAAAAUGUAGCGUAGUUAAGAAUCGAAAAUAAUAAAACGCGUGACUAUAUACGAGUUCAGAUCCUCUGAAGUGCGUGACCAUAUCCGAGUCCGAAUCUUCUGAAGUGCAGUGCAAGUUGUGUGGACAGGAUGUGUGGAGUAUUCUUAGAUUUUUUCACUACAUCAUGAUCAAAACGAUAUCGUUUUAAUUAAUCAUAAAACAAGUGAUUUACAACAUUUACUUCAGACACUUAAAAAGAGGAUCUGAAUCCGACCGU